AAUAGAUGACGCCGUUGACUUUUUCUCACAUGUUUGACCAUUCGUCUUAUUCAAAAUAUUUAAGUAAAUAUAUUUUCUUUUGUCGUGGUUUGAUUUAUCACUAAAUGAACUUUAAGCAUGACUAAUAUUUUUAAAAUUUGUAUAAAAUUUUUUUGAAUAAGACGAACGGUCAAAGGUUGUAACAAAAGUCAACGGCAUUAUAUAUU
rfam:Oryza glaberrima chromosome 7 Oglab07_0063_6, whole genome shotgun sequence.